UCUCCGCUUGCGCGGGCAGUUUCUCUAGAGUCCCCGGCAUUACCCGCUGGCAACUAAAGAUAGGGGUUGCGCUCGUUAUGGGACUUAACCCGACACCUCACAGCACGAGCUGACGACGGCCAUGCAGCACCUUGCAUCCUGCCCGAGGGAGGGCUGGUUUCCCAGCCUGUCAGGAUGCAUUUAAGCCCAGGUAAGGUUCUUCGCGUUGCAUCGAAUUGAGCCACAUGCUCCGCCGCUUGUGCGGGCCCCCGUCAAUUCCUUUGAGUUUUAGCCUUGCGGCCGUACUCCCCAGGCGGGGCACUUAAUGCGUUAGCUGCGGCACGGAAUCCGUCGAUAGGACCCACACCUAGCACCCAUCGUUUACGGCGUGGACUAC
rnacentral:misc_RNA from 1 species